AAUCAAGAGGAAGGCUUGGGCAGUGGAGUCCAAUUCUCAUAGUAGUCGUGUUGUUUGUCCGCUUGCCUUUUUCUUAUUACUGUUUGAGUUUAGUGUAUUGUCUAGUCGUUGCUUGCCGAUUAUUACUUGAAAGUUGGUAUGGGUAUUAUAACCCGUGUGUUACGCAUCAAAGGGUAGACUCAAUCGAGAGCAGCUUUUCGCCCUAGUUUCUCUAAUCAAAUGCUAGAAAACAACUAAUAAAUAGAAUAUGAGAAAACCAAUAUCAAUACAUAUCAAUACAAUAUCAAUACAUAUCAAUACAAUAUCAAUACAUAUCAAUACAAGUAAGCAGAAUCAUUAAUAUAUGCGAAAAGAAUACCAAUAAGAGAUAGAAUGAAAGUCAUUACUUUCAGAAUGAAACGCUGGAGUUGCGUACUAGGGGACAGGAGAGUAAGAGUCGCAAUAGGGGUUCUGUCGGAUCUAUCUGGUAGAAGAGAAGACUUCUUUUUGUAUUUCUAGUAAGAGGAUAGUUCAUCUAGUCAUAGAGUAAUAGUGUAUUUGGGCAUAGAAUAGAAUACUUGCAGUAAUCACAAGAAUGGAGCUGAUGCUUCUCGGAAUAACUACAAGAAUAGGGAAUUUACAACACCAACAAGGGUCGAUUACAUUGAGCUACUACUUAUCGGAUGGAUUGCCUCGAACAGUGUUUGUUCCCGUCCGUGCAAGUAAGGAUCAUGACCUAGAAGUUCAAGCAUGCAAGUUUGUAGUUGGCUUCUAUACUCCCGGUUCAGGUAUUAGAGUGACAAGCCGAAUUCCAUGUUAGAGGUUGGCCUGGGGCCCAAUGGGUUAAGUAUUAUAAGGUAGUAGAGGUAGCCUUGGAGACAGGUAAGUUAGACUAAAAGCAAAUAAAGUCAGGCGGAGA
rnacentral:lncRNA from 1 species